UUCCUCAUCUUGUACUGGAGAAAAUUCUUGUGAGUCUCACUAUGAAAAACUGUAAAGCUGCAAUGAAUUUUUUCCAAAGCGUGCCAGAAUGAGUAGAAGAACUAUUUCUUCAGACAACUUUUGACAAGAUGGACUUUUUAACCAUUGUGAGAGAAUGUGGUAUAGAAAAGCACCAGUCCAGUAUUGGCUUCUCUGUCCACCAGAAUCUCAAGGAAUCACUGGAUCGCUGUCU
rnacentral:lncRNA from 1 species